rnacentral:tRNA from 1 species
GGACGAUUAGCUCAGUUGGUUAGAGCGCUACCUUGACAGGGUAGAGGUCGUAGGUUCGAAUCCUACAUCGUUCACCA